ACAGAAUUGGUGAAUCUUCCUGACAGCAUUGUGAAGCUUGGCCAGCUGAGGCUUCUUUCACUUCCCGAAGCAAGUAUGGUACCUAGAGGGUUUAGUGGUCUGACAAAUAUGAGGAGACUAACUAUGUUUCGAGCCCACAUGGAUGGUGAUUGGUGCAGUUUGGAUGAGUUGGGGCCUCUUUCCCAACUCAGGUUUCUUGAAUUACAUCAAUUGGAGAAUGUAUCUACUGCCUCAUUUGCUGCUAAUGCUAGGCUCGGCGAGAAGAUGCAUCUUAUCAGGCUACUCCUGUACUGCACAAGUAAAAUGAGAUAUGAUGGGUUGGUCAAAAAGAAGGAAGGUGUCUCUGAUGAAGAGCAGCAACGAAUUGAGAAGGUUUUCAAUAAGCUCUGUCCUCCACCUGGUGUAGAAUAUCUUGAAAUCAAUGGGUAUUUUGGCCGGCAACUCCCGAGCUGGAUGAUGUCCACAUCAAUGGUGCCCCGCAACAACUUGAAGACUAUAUUGUUUGAUGAUCUGGCUUGUUGCACACAACUUCCCAAUGGGUUGUGCCAGCUCCCCAGUCUGCAGUUUCUACAGGUCUCUCGUGCUCCAUGCAUCAAGCAUGUUGGGACUGGAUUCUUGCAGGCGGCAGCAACUUCAUUUCCAAGGUUAAAUGAAAUGAUCUUGGACGGAAUGGUGGAAUGGGAGGAGUGGGAGUGGGAGGAGCAAGUACAAGCCAUGUCCCGUUUGGAGAAACUUGUGCUCAAUAGAUGCAGACUGAGGCAUGUUCCUCCAGGCCUUGCCUCCAAUGCAACCUCUUUGAAAAUAUUAGCUCUAGAACAUGUCAAGCACCUCAGCUACAUUGAGAGAUUUCCUUCUGUUGUUGAGCUUACAGUGAAUGGAUGCCCUGACCUGGAGAGUAUCACCAAUCUCCCCAAUGUGCAGAAGCUUACCAUCGUCAACUGCCCAAAGUUGAAGGUGCUGGAGCGUAUCGCUUCACUCGAGAGGCUGCUCCUGCGGGAUUACAACAUGGAAAAACUCCCAGAAUACAUGCGAGACAUAAAGGCAAGGCAUCUGCAGUUAUUCUGCAGGCUAUGGUUGCUCUCUGCAGUAGCCGCGGGACAAUCCGGCAUUGAGUGGGACAAGUUCAGCCACAUGGAGCAUGUCAAGGCAUAUUCAGGUGAUGUAGACAACCAAAGAAAAUGGUAUGUUUUGUACACGAGAGGAGACAACUGCAAGUUGGAUUCAAAUAUUAGCAGCUCUACCAUAUUUGAAGGUACAGAAAUCAAACAUACAAGCUUU
rnacentral:rRNA from 1 species